rnacentral:rRNA from 1 species
CGAACGGGUGAGUAACGCGUGAGGAACCUGCCUCAAAGAGGGGGACAACAGUUGGAAACGACUGCUAAUACCGCAUAAGCCCACGGCUCGGCAUCGAGCAGAGGGAAAAGGAGCAAUCCGCUUUGAGAUGGCCUCGCGUCCGAUUAGCUAGUUGGUGAGGUAACGGCCCACUAAGGCGACGAUCGGUAGCCGGACUGAGAGGUUGAACGGCCACAUUGGGACUGAGACACGGUCCAA